rnacentral:rRNA from 1 species
CAAAAACAUGUCUUCUUGAUUUUAUUUGAAGUCUAACCUGCUCAAUGAAAUUUUUAAAUAGCCGCGGUAUUUUAACUGUGCAAAGGUAGCAUAAUAAUUUGUCUUUUAAUUGAGGUCUUGUAUGAAUGGUUACACGAAAAAUAAACUUUAUUUGUUAAUAAAUUUAAAUUUAAUUUUUUAGUAAAAAAGCUAAAAUUUUUUUAAAUGACGAUAAGACCCUAUAGAUCUUAAUUUAUUAUAAUAUUUUAUAUUUUAGUGUGUUUUAAAGAAUUAUAAAUUUUGAAUUUUGCUGGGGUGGUAGUUAAACUUUUAAUCUUUAACUAAUUUUUACAAUUAUUUUUGUGUUUUUGAUCUUAUUUUAAGAAUUAUAAGAUAAAGAUACCUUAGGGAUAACAGCGUUAUUUAUUCGGAGAGUUCUAAUCGAUGAAUAAGUUUGCGACCUCGAUGUUGGAUUAAAAUUUGAGUGUGGGGUAGGUUUUACAUUCUGGGUCGU